GAGAAAUUACCAGAUCAGGGAAAUUGAUGUUCAUGCCAUCAGGUUUAAGGGGACACAGACAGGAUACAAGGUGUUGUUCCUUCACCUUGAGAGUGGCCUCAUCACGGCAGUUGAGGAAGGCCAUAGACAGAAAUGACAGAAUGGGAAUUGGAAGUCGAAUUGAAAUGAAAGCCACCGGGAAUCCAGUCUUUUGUGGCUGGUGGAGCAAAGGUGCUCGAAGAAGCGGUCCACUAAUCUAUGUCUUGUCUCACCGAUAUCUAGGAGACCACACCUGCUGAAUACAGUAGAAGACUUCAAAAGACUCGCAGGUUCUUCUGAAGACCCUAACCUGGAGUUACACGCUGACUUCAGUUCUUUGCGGAAAUGGGACCCGCUCUUGGGGACUCACAACCGGCUGCUUUUCAAUAAACCAAGGAUGCGGCCUGGAAGACGAGCGCGCCUUCAGGGUGCUGGAUUUUCAUGGCUCUGGAGGUGGGCUGAUUUAAGGCCCGUGCCGCCGUCUGAUGUGUCGUGGGAGACAGCAGAUCGUAAGCAGUGAGCUGGUUGUGUGCCCAGACACCCGAGUUCUUUGGGCACAGAGCUCAGAAAAAAACGACACAACAUACUUUUAACGCCAUAAAUCAGUGCCACCUGACCUCCUGAGCUUCAAGCAGGGUUCAAUGAUACCGGUGCCUAAGAAGAACGAGGAAACCUGCCUCAGUGGCUAUCGUCCAG